rnacentral:rRNA from 1 species
AUUGAACGCUGGCGGCAGGCCUAACACAUGCAAGUCGAACGAGUGGCGGACGGGUGAGUAAUGUCUGGGAAACUGCCUGAUGGAGGGGGAUAACUACUGGAAACGGUAGCUAAUACCGCAUACUGUCAGAUGUGCCCAGAUGGGAUUAGCUGGUUGGUGGGGUAACGGCUCACCAGGGCGACGAUCCCUAGCUGGUCUGAGAGGCUGACCAGCCAAACUGGAACGUAGACACGGUCCAGACUCCGACGGGAGGAAGAAGUGGGGAAGAUUGCACAAUGGGCGCAAGCCUGAUGCAGCAAUGCCGAGUGUAUGAAGAAGGCCUUCGGGUUGUAAAGUACUUUCAGCGGGGAGGCGUUACCCGCAGAAGAAGCACCGGCUAACUCCGUGCCAGCAGCCGCGGUAAUAC